CCUCUCGAAUGGUUUCUGCACUCUCUCCUCUCCUCCUCCGCUCUGUCAACAGAUUCAACACCUCUCUAAUCUCUCGAAUCGUCCCUGCACUCUCUACUCUCCUCCUCCUCCUCCUCCCUCUGCCGACAGACUCAACACGUUGGCCGUCGAGUCAUCGACCACCACACUUCUAUGAGUCCUCCAUAUUCCAGAUCCAGACUUCCACGGUUUCCCUCCAUCUCCUACCACAACCCCUAAAUCGAAGCUUCUCUGAUCUGAAGAAGGCCUUUUUUUUUUGGACUUGAUUGUCUGCCCAUCCAUUUUGGUGCUCAUCUCGUUUUUUUUUUUAAGCCACGGAGGACAGAAAGCAGAAAAUCCGAGUCUUUUACACUCAGAGUCAGAGUCGGUCGGCGUGCGUGAAUGAAACAGUAUUAGAGAAGAAUGGAUGCAAUAAAAGUAAACAACUCUAAAUUCCCAACCAAGUGUCUUCGUCCUUCCUUUCAAUUCUCAUUUAAACUCUAAAUUUGUGUGGUUUGUUAUCCAAUUUAAUUAUCGUACUCAAGCAUCCCCGUUGCGGCCGUUCAACCUCCCCAUCAGCUCCUUCAAUUUGUCACGGACAUAAAGAACAGCGUCAGUAGACAGAGUUUUUAGGGUUUGGUAGGACUUGGUCACAAUUAUCACAAAAUAUACGACCCAACAUGCAAGAGUAAACCAUCCGAAUGCUGGAACGAGGAGGAGCACCAGUAGAACCAACGCAAGAGUUCCACACAAGAGGCUGAUGUUGUUCAUCAAUUCAUACAUGUUUGUACUGUUGGAAGCUGGGAGAAUCUUGACAGUCGCUAAUGCCGCCGUGUAAGCGAAUAAAUCAAUAAUCAACAUCACAACGGUGUUGUGGUUUGUGACAAAUGGUGACGGCAAAUUUCCGGUCGCGUAAAUCACCUGGAGCAGGACUCCUAGCAUUGUGAGGAGAAAGAAUAUACAUUUGUGUACUGCUGGUAGAGAUUUGUACUGACCACCCUCCUCCAUAGUGCUGCUGUAUUAUAAACAACACAAAAUUAAUGAAUGGGAAAAUGAUCUCUGUAGAGUUACUGUAA